UUCUUCUUCUUCUUCUUCUUCUUCUUCUUCUUCUUCUUAUUAUUAUUAUUAUUAUUAUUAUUAUUAUUAUUAUUAUGUACAUUGUUUACGCUAUUUCCUUCCAAAGUAAAAACAUUGCUAAAUCUUCCUCAGGUUUGUAAUAUUUAUUUCCUAAUCAAAAUGAACAAAAUUCUCACGGCGAGAAGGAAAAAUUGAUUUAAAUUAGGCUACGCUUAGUGAAUUCCUCUAAAGCGCUUUAAACCGUUUAAUGGAUUAAAUUUAUUUGGUCCUUAGGGUUCAGAAAAAAAUGGCAAGCAAACGAACUUUAGUCAAAUUGGCGAAAAUCUCACACAGUCGGGGUUUGCUUUGAAAAUAUGUUCCUUUUGUGAUUUUACGAAAUGAGUGAUUUUGAUUCUGUGCCCUAUAAUAAGUUUUUGUUAUAGCUGAACCAUCUGUAAAUAAAUAUUCGCUGAUUUGUGGAAACAAGUGGCAAUAAAAAUCCUUAUUGGGCUGGAUGGACCAUUAUCAGGCAUUUUCUCGGAGCGCAUUCCCUCUUUACUGCGUGUAAUUGGCCGGAGUGUGUGAGCGGGGUCGAGAUAGAGAGCACAUCACAGCGGUGACCCUUUCUGUCGCCCAGCAUUUACUGAGCUAACGGUGUUUAAAGCUGUAAUAUCAGUCUGCCUUUAUUACACAGCACCUUGCUCCUUAUCUAGCCCACAUUGGAGCUGAGCAGCGCAUCGGUGACCUUAAUGCGGAUUUUUGCGUCAGAAAUCCGGCGCGGUAAAGUGUUCCUCCCCCGCUGAUCAGAGCAAAACACUGAUCCCGUGUGGAUUUAAAGCCUUUUCAUCAGUGGCUCAGUGCGCUCUGUUAACUGCGCUCUCCUCUUACACUGGAAAUGGACACUAUUGAAAUUAGAUUUUUCUUUUCGAAACACGAGCCGUAAUAACCAUCAUUUUCAGUGCGUGCACGUGAGGAUCCGCACAGGCAGCUCUGUGCAAUACCAUCUCCUCUGUUAGGCAGUGUGUGUGUGUGUGUGUGUGUGUGUGUGUGUGUGCGUGCGUGUGUGGGACUCCAGUGUGUGCAAUCUUUAGCUGAAAUAAAGCAUAUAGUGUGUGUGUGUGUUGUGUGUGUGUGUGUGUGUGUGUGUGUGUGUGUGUGUGUGUGUGUAUCUAACCCUCAGGAAAACAUGAAACAUGAGCUAACUGUGUGUUAAUUCCAAAUUAACUCACAAUUACAAAAUGUACUCUAUGGUAGUUUAUGUCCAUUGUACAUUCAGUACUAAAAUGCCUGCAGUAUAUAUCGAAUAUACUGAGUUGUAUGUAUGUCUGUACAUUCCUGACUGAAAUAAACAUGUAUCUUUGCAGAAUAAAUAUGUAAACGUCUAAAAAAAAAAAAUUCAAAAAUGUUUUCCUGGUAUGUUUCCCCCCCACCCUAUAAAACAUUAGUCAAAAGGACAGAAACAAAUCACACAGUAGAGUGACUGAAAUUAAUUACAAGUUCGACUAACUUUCUCCCUUUUUAAAACGGCCAAUUCGUUUUUUUUAACAUUUUUUUUUUAUUGGUAUUGGCAAUUGUAGAGGAAAGAAAAGAAAGAAAGAAAGAAAGAAAGAAAGAAAGAAAGACAUAAAGAAGGAAGGAAGGAAAAUGAAUGAAAGAAAGAAAGAAGUAAAAAAAAUAAUAAAACUUGGGAUCUUGGAAAUAGUGUUUAAUGAAUUUGCAUAGUAUUUGCAUAAGCCUAUUAUUAGCAGUUAACACAAAAUUCAGGAGAAAAAGAAAGUUAUCAAGAAACACGCAAGCUACAAUUUACCUUAUCAUAAUUCUAUAUUAAUUUUACAAAGAUUAUUACAUGCCCUCACUUUUUGGAUUAAGGAAUGGAUAUACAUUUCAUUUGUAAUGUCCAGGGCUUGUCAGUCCAUAUGAGAAGCUGACUCCCAUUAUCUACCAUUAUGUUUCCUGACCUCCCUAUUUAUUAAACAAACAGCCCUUAGUGCAAGAUUUCUAACCACAUUUUAACAUCUAAACAACAUGUGAUUGUCUUUUGUUUCAUACAGAUCAAAAUAAAGGCUCGAGUCCCACACGCUCAUUUGAAAUUUAUCCAAACAAAUGCUGUUGCUAUGUUUGUCUGUGUUUUGUUUUCCAUGUUUCUUCCUGUCUCAGCAUUUCCCCCUCGGUUCUGGAAGUAUUCGCAUGAUCAAGCAAGGUAUCCAGUCUUCUGAAAAUAUGGCUGCUUCCUGAACCAUGAUCAAGUAAUUUCACUUUUUUUUUAGACCAAUUAUGAAUUGUAAAUAUUUUUCCCCCAAAGCAUCGCAGUACAAAAAUCAUUGUUAAAACAAACAUUUGGAAAACUGGGCCUUGAUUGAUUAAAGGAAAUGAAAACAAAUAUUUAUUCAUCUUAAAUGGUGACAUGAGAUACCGGGUAAUUUUGAUGUUAAAGAUAUAACAAGAAGUAACAUGAAUAAAACAUUCUUUCAUGGAUGAGCUGACUGAGAUGACAUUGAGUAUUCAGAGACAAACGCCUGGCAUUGACGUCUAUAUGAAUCUAUGGGCUCUAUGAAUCUAUAUGGCCAAAAGACUUGAUAAUCUUUCAUACUUGUCAAAAGUUUAGAGUCGAACUUUCCUCAUGUAUGGCCAGGCAGGCUGCAUUCUGGCACCCAUCGUCUUUGUUACAUUAUGGCCUGUGGCUGAGCUCUUGACAGGUUGUCACAAGGUGAUAGGACUCAAGUGGAGACACUAGAAAGGUGGCACUUAAGAGCACAAGGAGUUUGACUUCCGGGUGUGCCGUGGAGCCUGACAGUGGAGCAGCCCUUGAAGGAGUGCACUCACACACCAGUGUGAUUGGAAUGUCCCGUAAAUGAGAGCUCUGCUUUAGAUGUAACAAUGCCGACAAAUGAAAGAACUGGCAAGAACUAAGAAAUGUGGAAUCUCAUGCAAAAAAAAUUCCCCUGAAGUGUCCCCCACUCUCCCAUUUUUUUAUUUUUUAAAUUUAUUGAAUCCAAAGUUUCUAAGAGUCUUGAUACAGCUAAAUGCAAAUUAAAAUGAUUGUUCUGGACAUACGUUCAUAUAUGUUCACAAUAAAAUAAAUGAUUUUUAUGCAUGAAAUCUGUGUAUUCACUUUAUGAAUGAUAUUGUAUUGAUUAAUUUGGC
ensembl:lncRNA